UGGCUCCAACAUCCCAGGGAAUUGUGUCACUCCCAUUGAGCAGCUGUGGGGCCCUCUCCCACAUGGCCCAGGUCCACCACUCUGUCAAAGGUCGCACAGCCCAGACAAAAACAGGACACAGCAGUGUGUGAAUGAGCCGGGCUUUCUCCUUCCCUCCACGUAAUAGAAGGUGCCUGAGGUUGUUGAAACACAGUCCAUUUCUCCUGGGAAUGACAAGAAUUUGAGGGAUGCUGACUUUCAAGGAAUACUGCAUGACAGGCAUCAAGAUAAACCUGAUGAAGAAAACAUAGGCCAGAAUCUGGGAAUCGGGAGCAAAGUAAUACAGCUUCGGGGACAGGCACGUAAUGAGGUCAUGAUGUAGGAGACUCCCUGCAGGACUGGCGGCCCCUGUUCCCUGGGUUGUUCUGGCUCUUUCAGAACCUGACCCUGGAACAGGACUGAGCAGGUGCCUGUGUGCACAGAAGACCUUGUGUGAGUCCUUUGGUACCACGUUUGCUGCACGAAUGUCUGAGACACCUCACAGUCGCUUGGUUCAGCCUCUCCCUCCUCUCUCCGCUGGGGAACAUCAUCCCUCAUCACUGGAAGAAAUUACAAGGAUUGUGUAAACAAUUACAAGUAUUCUACAAACAGUGA
ensembl:lncRNA novel transcript